UACGAAGGGGGCUAGCGUUGUUCGGAAUCACUGGGCGUAAAGGGCGCGUAGGCGGCCCGGUAAGUCCGCUGUGAAAGUCGGGGGCUCAACCCUCGGAUGCCGGUGGAUACUGUCGGGCUAGAGUGCGGAAGAGGCGAGUGGAAUUCCUGGUGUAGCGGUGAAAUGCGCAGAUAUCAGGAGGAACACCAAUUGCGAAGGCAGCUCGCUGGGACGUGACUGACGCUGAGACGCGAAAGCGUGGGGAGCAAACAGG
rnacentral:rRNA from 1 species